rnacentral:rRNA from 1 species
CUAGCGUUGUUCGGAAUUACUGGGCGUAAAGCGCACGUAGGCGGACUAUUAAGUCAGGGGUGAAAUCCCGGGGCUCAACCCCGGAACUGCCUUUGAUACUGGUAGUCUCGAGUCCGGAAGAGGUGAGUGGAAUUCCGAGUGUAGAGGUGAAAUUCGUAGAUAUUCGGAGGAACACCAGUGGCGAAGGCGGCUCACUGGUCCGGUACUGACGCUGAGGUGCGAAAGCGUGGGGAGCAAACAGG